rnacentral:rRNA from 1 species
GUCCGCACUGUAAACGAUGAUUACUCGUUGCUGGGGAGCAAUUCUCAGUGACUAAGCGAAAGCGAUAAGUAAUCCACCUGGGGAGUACGCCGGCAACGGUGAAACUCAAAGGAAUUGACGGGGGCCCGCACAAGCGGAGGAGCAUGUUGUUUAAUUCGAUGAUACGCGAGGAACCUUACCAGGGCUUGAAAGUUAGUGACCGCUCCUGAAAGGGAGCUUUCCGCAAGGACACGAAACUAGGUGCUGCAUGGCUGUCGU